rnacentral:lncRNA from 1 species
CCAAAGUCAAAUACAAUUAUAAGAGUUCAACUAUCCAAAAGAAAAAUCAACUAGAAUAUACAUUGAAUCAGGUUGAUAGAGACACAAACAUCAUGAAGAAAGCACAAUUGAAUCGUAAAUAAAGCUAUUACUACGCUCUCAAUUCUGUUUUUCAUUUCCAUCUUCAAAUUGAGCCUCACAUCAGAUAAGAUUCAGAACAUGUACCUGGGAACUAAAAGGGAACAAAAAGGUGAAGAAUCAGUAAGGAGCAGCAGCAGAAACCAACUUAAAAUUCAGCAAUGAAACAGUAUAAAAUCAGUAGAACAAGCCUCGAAGCCUUGAUCAAUUCCAGACUUCUAAAACCCAGUUUAAACCAUUCUACUGAACCCUUGAAAUUCUGAUUUACCAAAGGAAAAUAAAACUCGAAAACCAAGCCAAAACUUCAAACAAUUUUCAGUGUUCUUACUUGAGAGAAAAUAUCUAGCCGUUUUCAAAAUUUUUGUGUUUUUCAAUCCC